UGGGGAAUAUUGCGGCAAUGGGCGAAAGCCUGACGCAGCGACGCCGCGUGAGGGAUGAAGGUCUUCGGAUCGUAAACCUCUGUCAGCAGGGAAGAACUUUUACUGUGCUAAUCAGCAGUGAAUUGACGGUACCUGCAAAGGAAGCACCGGCUAACUCCGUGCCAGCAGCCGCGGUAAUACGGAGGGUGCGAGCGUUAAUCGGAAUUACUGGGCGUAAAGCGCUCGUAGGUAGUAUAUCAAGUCAAGGGUGAAAUCCCCGCGCUCAACGUGGGAACUGCCUUUGAAACUGUUACACUUGAGUGUGUGAGAGGAUAGUGGAAUUCCAGGUGUAGGAGUGAAAUCCGUAGAUAUCUGGAGGAACAUCAGUGGCGAAGGCGACUAUCUGGCACAUAACUGACACUGAGGAGCGAAAGCGU
rnacentral:rRNA from 1 species